rnacentral:rRNA from 1 species
CCUACGGGUGGCAGCAGUGAGGAAUAUUGGUCAAUGGGCGGAAGCCUGAACCAGCCAAGUAGCGUGCAGGAUGACGGCUCUACGGGUUGUAAACUGCUUUUAUACGGGAAUAACGCGCCUUACGUGUAGGGCUUUGCAUGUACCGCAUGAAUAAGGACCGGCUAAUUCCGUGACAGCAGCCGGGGUAAUACGGAAGGUCCGGGCGUUAUCCGGAUUUAUUGGGUUUAAAGGGAGCGUAGGGCGCAUGUCAAGCGUGCGGUGAAAUGUUCGGGCUCAACCCGGGCCUUGCAGCGCGAACUGGCGUGCAUGGGUCCGCGGAAAGCAGGCGGAAUUCGUGGUGUAGGGGUGAAAUGCUUGGAUAUGA